GCCAGCGUGUCCGAGUGGUUUAAGGAGUGGAGCUUAAGAUUCCAUGUCGUAAGAUUCGUGGGUUCGAAUCCCACCGCUGGCA